AGAUUGAACGCUGGCGGCAUGCUUUACACAUGCAAGUCGAACGGUAACGCGGGGGCAACCCUGGCGACGAGUGGCGAACGGGUGAGUAAUACAUCGGAACAUGUCCUGGAGUGGGGGAUAGCUCGGCGAAAGCCGGAUUAAUACCGCAUACGCUCUGAGGAGGAAAGCGGGGGACCCGUAAGGGCCUCGCGCUGCGGGAGUGGCCGAUGUCGGAUUAGCUAGUUGGUGAGGUAAAGGCUCACCAAGGCGACGAUCCGUAGCUGGUCUGAGAGGAUGAUCAGCCACACUGGGACUGAGACACGGCCCAGACUCCUACGGGAGGCAGCAGUGGGGAAUUUUGGACAAUGGGGGCAACCCUGAUCCAGCCAUGCCGCGUGAGUGAAGAAGGCCUUCGGUUGUAAAGCUCUUUCGGACGGACGAAUGGUUACGGCGAAUAGCCGUGACUGAUGACGGUACCGUAAUAAGAAGCACCGGCUAACGUACGUGCCAGCAGCCG
rnacentral:rRNA from 1 species